UUUAUAAAAGUAUGGCACCUCUUCCCUCUCUCUCUCUUGCUCUUCUUGCCAUGUGACACCUCGCCCUUCACCUUCUGCCAUGAGUAAAACUUCCUGGGGCCUUACCAGAAAUCAAGCAGAUACUGGCACUAUGCUUGUAGAGCCCGCAAAACUGAAGCUGAACUGACACGAAACAAAAGAAGUCCGUUGUUUUGGAUUGAGUUCCAUACUUGGCUGGCCCAGAGGUUGAUCUCACCACCAUUCAGAUAUCCAAGAAGAAGCCACCUGUUGGAUUUAAGAAAACCCAAUCCCUGACUUACACCCUGACUUGUAAUCUGGAACCACGCAGAGAUUUUCAAUGACAAUGUGGGGAAACAGAAUUUGUCUGAACUUUGGUGAUUUUGAAUGAAGUUUAUAUAAUAAUUAAAGCCAGGGCAGAUUUGGCAGUCUUCUUGAAAGGAAGUAAUGCUUAUUGUGGUCAGAAGAAAGAGUGAGGCAACUCAGGGUCUGAAAAAAGAGACAUGAAGAAAGCUGAGGACCAAUCCAUUCCAAGGUUCACUGUGGAAAUGGGGCCCAACCCUUAAAAGGU
rnacentral:lncRNA from 10 species